GCGUGGCUGAGGCACGGAAAGCCGAGAUUUUGAGUGGGCCGCCGCUGGAAUCCAGUUGCUGCUGGGCCGAAGGUUGUUACAACAGCUGCCUACUCGACUUCAGCAAAAACAAGCACCUUGUCUAGCACCCUCUCCCAGGAAUAUUUUCUCUGUCUUGAAAAGUGAUGUCUUCCCUGGGCAGGAACUGCUGCAAUUCAGACGUCUAUGAGUCUACAGGGAUCCAGCCCUCAAGAUUAUUUUCUGAUGUUCAGAAGCAUUCAUCUUGAUUCUGAGAUAUGCCUAGACCCUACCCUCCCUUCUGCACCUUGUUCAAUAGUGCCUCCAUCCCUGCAUCCAGGAAUUCGCGUCCAUAGAGGACGUUCUCCAAGGAUGAGGAAGAAUUAUCUAUAUCUGCCAAUUUGUGGUCUUGAGUUGGAGCCAGUACAUUGGCCCUACUUGGCAGAACAUCUUGGAAAUCCAACUUUCCUGAGAAAGGAAAUAAAAAUUAAGAGAGACCGUUCUAAUUUGGUGUUUA
rnacentral:lncRNA from 1 species